ACACCCUGUGCUAGAAAACUGGCUGAGAAACUGCACUAUGAACUUUGUUUCUAACAAUUCUGCUUCUGCGCUUUGACUGAUGUUCCACCAACAAAUCAGAUCAUAGUUUGUACUUCUAAUUGCAGCCACUGUAACAGUAUCUUUACGCAGUCUUUCCAUUCCAUCUCAAGAGUGUCCUCCUAGCCUCGCCUUUUUCCUAUUUAAUAUCUCCUGCACAACCUCUUCAGAAAUAAUUGGUAGUUUGAAAUGAGCUGAACUUAUGCUGCAAGGGGAGAUUCUGGAGCACAGAUAUCGUGGGUGGGAUUUCCACGCCCAGUCUGUGGAGACAGCACAUAACCUGGUGUGUCUGUAUAAAAGAUGGACAAAGCUGGCUGAUUCCCCCACCCUGUGAGCUGAAAGCCUUCUGUGUCUCUCCCGCCUUCCGUCAGCUAAUGAACGUCAAUUGACAUAAGUGGCACAGUGACAUCCACUAAUUAGACUAUCACUUAACUCGGGAAGUGUGACAGCAUGAACAUGUUUUGGAGAACAAUCAGAAUACUGUAAAAGCAAUAUUAAAAUUCCUGGCUUUCUACACAAUAUAUAUGUACAUUGCAUAUGUAUAUACACACAUACACAUAAGACAAAAUCAUUUCUAGUUUAAGACAGAAUUACUUUCAUUUCACAAUGAAAUUUUCAGAACUCAUCUUCAUGUUUCUCUAGUAACAGUGCUUCUUGAUGAAUACCAUGAGUGGCACAACAUUUAAGUUUCACAACUCUUGAUUUUCAUCCCCUUGAUAUCAGACAGUAUUCACUAUGGCAAUAACAUUACACAGUCACGUAAUCUCUGUAGAAGUAAAAAAUAAAAUAAAAUGAAAAUAAGUAUUUAGUAAAAAGAACUAAGUAAGAUAAAGAAUUAUUAAGAAGUUAGAGAAAUAAUAGCCCUAGACAAACUUAAGAGGAACAUGGCCAUCAUUUCCUUAAAUAGCCUCAAUAUUGUUUGUCUGCUGGUGUAUCUGCUUUUGAGAAAUUAGCAUUUGAAAUUUUCUUAUCAAGGUUUCUUUAGGGAGGUGUAAUUCAAGGCCUAUGAAAGGAACAGGAAAGUAAUCACUCACUCUUGAAAAGCGUGGGCUCACCUCUAAUCCCAUUCUUCUCCUCACUUCUGUAAAGCGUUAGUUCAAAGACAACUAUAUAGGUUUGAUUGUAUAUGUAUGUGUGUGUGUGUGUAUUUUGUAUACAGGAUAUAUACACACACACACACACACACAUAUAUAUAUAUGUAUAUAUACAUACCACCUUCUCAGAGCCGUUAUAAAUUAUAUUACAUUACAUCAGUCUUCUUUGAAGUUUCCAUCACAUAUGAAAUAGAUGCCUUCCGGUUACAGAAUAUCCAGGCUUAGACAAGUGACGUGCUUUGUGUUAUUCAUUUAUUUGUCCUACAAUCACAAUAUUUUUACAUUAUUCUUCACUGGCAGUACCACAGGACUGUCAGCAGAAACCACCACGGUAGUGCAGUUUUCUGGUGUUUGUGCUAUAAUCAAAUUAACAGAGAUUCUAGCACCUAUUGAAGCACUCAGAAUAUCCGCAAUCAGUUCUCCAAAUGAUUUAAACAAGGAGAUGGUCUUAUUUGCACAUCAGCAAUUUCCACUCCAACAGAAACAAGACUGAAGCAAAAGAAAGAAUUCUUUCCAACAAUUGCCACUGUUCAUACUCGAAGGAUGUUUAUUACAAGGAAACGUGAAGUGUGUUAGUGAAAGGAUAUAGCUAAUGUGACAUUAAAGUAAAACCAGCAUGAUGACCUACUUUUGUUUCUGCUGAAUUAAGUUACAUUUUGUCUUGCCUUGAGAGACUGAAUAUCAUUAGUUAGAGUACCAGGCAUAUUACGCGCUUACCUUCAGUGACAGAUCAAAGCAGCGAGGUAAUCCAGGGACAACAGUGUUGAGCUGUAUGACAGUUGUGCACAGUGGAGUCCUGGGAGGAGGUCACUGCCUAUACAGAAUAAGAAAACAGUGUAAGUUGCUGGGAUAAGUAUCCUUGGGAAAUAUCCUGGGAUAUUUCAGUGUAAGUGCAAUCCAAGAUGCUGAAAUCAAUACAAAUGUGAAACCCAUUUCUAAUUUGCUGUGUUAUGAGAAACGGAUGAGUAAAAACAUAGCGUCUUUUUGAAAUGGACUAUUUUACCUACUUACUUGAAUAUAUAUGUGCAUCAUCAAUACAUUGACAUCAUAAUUCAUCAAAAGGUAUCUAUGGAUACUCCAAACAUUCCUACUUCAAAAGAUUUGUAGGAUCAGAAAACUCCAACAACCUUGAUUCUGAACCUUGGAUGGCCUUGAGCCAUUCACAGCUAUGAACUUAAUCUUUGCUGAAACAAAUGUUUGUAAAGUGAAGUGGAUGUGGAUAAGAUUAUGAAAGAGCAAACCUUAUUUUGUGAUGAGCCCAGAGUUCCUGACACUGCACAGCAUGGACACCGUGGUAUUUGUUAUUCACUAACCUUUCGUGCACUUUCUAGUGUAAAGGACAUAAAAUAUCAACCAAUGUAACUUCCUUUUUUUUGUAUCUCGUAUGACUGCAUCUGUCAAAAAAGCUAACUUACUGAUUAAUGAACUCCAAAGAUAAUCUGUGAAAUUGUGUUCAACUAUUGAUCAUUUUCUGACAUUUCCUGCUGCAAAUAAAGGUGUUUGCUCUUUUUUCCACACACAUUUUUCCUCCUCUAUAUAUAAGUACAGAGAAUCUUUCAGUACGUUUACAACAAAUGAAGUCAAAGACUUCACUUCUGGUAGAAAUGACAGAAAGACUCAAAUGUGAUGCCCACAUUACAGUGAAUAUACUUUCAGAAAACUGAGGUCAUUUUUCAUUAUUUGCACAAGUUGGGAUUAAGUCUCUAAAACCAACACACUAUUUCUUCAAACAAAUCACUGUAUACACCUGAUUAAAUCAGAGUACUUUACAUUAGAAGGCAAAUGUGUUUUAGUAAAACCCCA
ensembl:lncRNA